rnacentral:tRNA from 1 species
GGCCUCGUAGCUCAGCUGGUAGAGCGUGCGCGUGCAAAGCGUAAGCGAGGUACAUGCGUGAGUUCGAAUCCCAAUGAGUCUA